rnacentral:rRNA from 1 species
AUUGAACGCUGGCGGCAGGCCUAACACAUGCAAGUCGAACGAGUGGCGGACGGGUGAGUAAUGCUUGGGAAACUGGCUGAUGGAGGGGGAUAACGACGGGAAACUGUCGCUAAUACCGCGUACCAUCGGAUGAGCCCAAGUGGGAUUAGGUAGUUGGUGGGGUAACGGCGUACCAAGCCGACGAUCCCUAGCUGGUCUGAGAGGAUGACCAGCAACACCGCGACUGAGACACGGGCCGGACUCCUACGAGAGGCAGCAGUGGGGAAUAUUGCGAAAUGGGGGAAACCUGACGCAGCCAUGCCGCGUGUAUGAAGAAGGCCUUCGGGUUGUAAAGUUCUUUCGGUGACGAGGCGUUAAUCGCAGAAGAAGCACCGGAUAACUCCGUGCCAGCCGCCGCGGUAAUAC